rnacentral:ncRNA from 2 species
AAUAACCUUCGGGGCAGGGUGAUAACGUUCCAAACGUUUAUUCCCGACCGGUGGUAAAGCCCACGAGCCAUGUUCAUGGCAUGAUCCGGUGUAACUCCGGAGCCGACGGUAUAGUCCGGAUGAAAGAAGGCUGAG